AACUACAAAGACGUGUUCUACUUCUAGUGUUGUUAUCUUGAAAAAUCUAGCAACUUCCAUUCCACACACAAUUAGUUAUGGCUUCAAUUUCAUCUUUUUCCGUCGCUUCUCUUUCUCUCCCAAAAUCUCAAUCUCAUUCUCUGGAUCCCGAUUCUUCUUUCUCCGGUAAAAGCAACAAUAAGAGUGGUAUUUGUUGUUUCCCGCCUUCGUUUGAACGGAGAAAGAUUGUCCUCUCUUCCAUCGCCGUCAUUGCCGGAACCUUCUGCAAAGGAGGAACUGCUCUUGCAUCUCAAUUUGCUGACAUGCCUGCACUUAGAGGGAAGGAUUAUGGCAAAUCAAAAAUGCGAUACCCAGACUACGUAGAAACCGAAUCUGGACUACAAUAUAAGGACUUGCGACCGGGGAAUGGCCCCACACCGAAGAAAGGAGAGACAGUUGUGGUAGACUGGGAUGGCUACACCAUAGGUUAUUAUGGUCGCAUAUUUGAAGCCCGGAAUAAAACGAAAGGUGGUUCCUUUGAGGGUGAUGACAAGGACUUUUUCAAAUUCAAAAUAGGAUCUCAAGAGGUAAUACCAGCUUUUGAAGAGGCUGUUUCAGGCAUGUCUCUUGGGGGAAUUAGAAGGAUAAUUGUGCCCCCAGAACUUGGAUAUCCUGAGAAUGAUUAUAAUAAAGGUGGCCCAAGACCUACAACAUUCUCGGGCCAACGAGCCUUGGAUUUUGUUCUAAGGAACCAAGGAUUGAUAGACAAGACACUUUUGUUUGAUAUUGAGCUAAUGAAGAUUAUUCCAAACUGAUUUGUCAAAUUCUGCAUUGACCCUGGAUAUCAUCAUGAAAACAUUGAGACAAGUCUGCAAUUAGUUGUUUGUCAGUGCCAAUAUCAUUAAUUGAUCCUUCAUACCUUACCUAUACAGACGAGGAAGCAAGCUUUGUUUUCCUGUCCUUUGAUCAUUUUGUUGACAUCGACAUUCGAUGCUCGCCUAUGCUACAAGUUGGAUGUAAUAUUCCGGUUUUUUCCUUGUUCAUUUGUCCAGUAACUAAAAAUUUUUGUGUCAUUUGAGGAAGUCCCCCUCAAUUAUUUGAAACUUUGAUUCAUUAAGUGUGUGCAUGGGAAGAAACGUCAUAUAAUUAAUUAGAAAUUAGUCAUAGUGUGUAGAAAAGGAUCACACGCGACUGGAACACAACAGCUGUUGUUGCUUAUAGCGUAAGUGGUUUAAUGCAGAUAGAUAGAGCUUUACAAUCACAAAUUCUAUUCAACCUUUAGAAUAUUUUCAUGUGUCUACUUCAA